rnacentral:rRNA from 1 species
GGAGGGGCUGUGUUUAUUAGAUACAAAACCAACCCACUUUUGGUGGAGUCUGGGUGAUUCAUAGUAACCGAACGGAUCGCAGUUGGCUUCGGCCCGCGAUAUAUCUUUCAAGUUUCUGACCUAUCAGCUUUCGACGGUAGGGUAUUGGCCUACCGUGGCAGUGACGGGUAACGGGGAAUUAGGGUUCGAUUCCGGAGAGGGAGCCUGAGAAACGGCUACCACAUCUAAGGAAGGCAGCAGGCGCGCAAAUUACCCAAUGAAAACAGCUUCGAGGUAGUGACGAGAAAUAACAAUACAGGGCAUUUUUUGUUCUGUAAUUGGAAUGAUGGGAAUGUAAAACCCUUUCAGAGUAACAAUUGGAGGGCAAGUCUGGUGCCAGCAGCCGCGGUAAUUCCAGCUCCAAUAGUGUAUAUUAGAGUUGUUGCAGUUAAAAAGCUCGUAGUUGGAUUUCUGUCGUGGUCAUCCGGUUCCGCCCGUAUGGGUGUGCACCUGGUUUGCCCUCGGCUUUCUUCCGUUAGCCUUCCGGCGCUUCAUUGCGUCUGUGUUGGUGUUUCGGAACUUUUACUUUGAGAAAAAUAGAGUGUUUCAAGCAGGCUUGUCGCCCUGAAUACUGCAGCAUGGAAUAAUAAGAUAGGACCUUGGUUCUAUUUUGUUGGUUUCUAGGACUAAGGUAAUGAUUAAUAGGGACAGUUGGGGGCAUUCGUAUUUAACUGUCAGAGGUGAAAUUCUUAGAUUUGUUAAAGACGAACUACUGCGAAAGCAUUUGCCAAGGAUGUUUUCAUUAAUCAAGAACGACAGUAGGGGGUUUGAAGACGAUUAGAUACCGUCGUAAUCUCUACCAUAAACUAUGCCGACUAGAGAUAGGGAAAUGCCUACCUUGGCUUCUCCUGCACCUCAUGAGAAAUCAAAGUCUCUGGGUUCUGGGGGGAGUAUGGUCGCAAGGCUGAAACUUAAAGGAAUUGACGGAAGGGCACCACCAGGCGUGGAGCCUGCGG